UACGAAGGGGGCUAGCGUUGCUCGGAAUCACUGGGCGUAAAGGGUGCGUAGGCGGGUCUUUAAGUCAGGGGUGAAAUCCUGGAGCUCAACUCCAGAACUGCCUUUGAUACUGGAAAGCUUGAGUCCGGGAGAGGUGAGUGGAACUCCGAGUGUAGAGGUGAAAUUCGUAGAUAUUCGGAAGAACACCAGUGGCGAAGGCGGCUCACUGGCCCGGUACUGACGCUGAUGUGCGAAAGCGUGGGGAUCAAACAGG
rnacentral:rRNA from 1 species